AUAAUAGUCGUGGAACUUCGGACAAUAAUCGUGCAUGCUACGACACUUAUUAAAUUGGAUUUUUCUUGAGAUAUAUUUAGGAUUUCGGGACGUACGAUAGGUUAGAAUAUGAUUAUUGAUACCACCAGGUCGGAGGAGGUAACACUACAAAGUAUUCUAAAUAUAGAGUUGUCAGACGAAAAAAAUGUCCCCUAGAAAACUAAAAACCGACCCCUCCCCC
rnacentral:lncRNA from 1 species